UGUUCCCCUCUUCUCCUAAAUCUAGCGCUAGCAGAUGGUUUCUAAAGAGCGGGGAGCAAAAAAUAUACAAGAGGGGAAGAAAAAGCUGCGCUGCCGACGCGAUUGCUCCCGCGAGACGCGAGCGCGCUGCAUUCGCCGCUGCGAGAGAUCUUGCCGUGCUAACUCUCCUCCCCGCUGCAUUGGGUGCCUCCGGGGAGGAGAACCGGCUCCAAUCGGCUCUCGUUUGCGCUUUAAUCAGAGCGGUGGCGAUUCGUUUGUUUGUUGGUGGUUUCCGCCGGUUAUGCUCCCGCGUUUGUGAGCAGGGAUUUACUGAGCUGGGAGCGGAUCCCUCUUGGCGUUUGCCGGUUUGCCGCUCCCCUCUGCUGCGUCCAAGUAGGGUGGUGCGGUGUGGUGAGUGGUGCUGUUUUUCUUUGGGCAUAGUGUAUCACGGGAACGCACUUUCUUUCCGGUGAAAAGGGCCUUCAGAUUCUGCUCCUGCAAAGGCACAAACACUUCGUUGAGAUGAUGUGGUGAUCUUUACUCUCAGUUGAUCCUCCUCAGUGUGAUACUUCAAGAUGGAGCAAAUUUCAAUUGGGAAUCGAUACAAAGAGUGCAGACCACGAAGAAGUAGCAACUGUCAAACUAAAAUAUUUGUUGGGAAGGAUGUAAUGAAAGAACUAGAGCAAAGGCGUUCAUCGCCCAGUGUGAUUGCAAAACUGAUGGGAAUUGAUGUAUUGCCACCUUCUAAUUUAGUCCAUAGUCGGCGCCAAGAAUUUAAGGAUGUCUUUGAAGUGUCAGAGGAGCCACCAGAGGCUGUCAUAAAAGAGAGGUCCCAUCAUUUCCCUAAAGGUUUGCCAAACUUGAAACGUAGCGCGCUAAGAUUAAAAAAAUUGAUGCCAUCAAAGACUCUCUAUAGAGAUGAUGCUCAUGAUUGCAAUGUGGAGUGCACAUAUGGCAUGGAUCGUUUGAACUCGGUGGAAAUAAAUAAUCCUUUGUUUGAGAAGCGCCCUCACGACAUGAACUAUUCUCCAAAUUAUCAGUAUGAGAACGGCGCAGCAAGAGCUUGCAGGAGGUACCCCGUGGGUUUUGCUAGUUCCUCACUCAGUGAUUUCAGAAUUUUAUCGAGAGGAAAGAAUGCAGAUUUCAACAGCAUUGUUGUUUUGGAGCCAAGCUUGGUAAAUGGCCAUGAUCCAGAAAACGUUUUUUCCAUUCCAUACCUUUCUCCUGUUAAUAAGAACUGCAGGAGAGGCACAGAACAUAAGCAAUCAGAGUUUCUUGGGACGGAGAAUGGAAGAGUUCUGCAACAUCUUUUUGAUACUGAAGAUGUUAAUGUGCCUGGAAUUGGAAGGGAAGGAGACCUGAGUAGUGUUUCAACUGAUCCACUGGUAAAAGAACAAGAAGCAUCAUUCCAUCAAUUCAGCACGAUUUAUGCGAGUUGUUCUGGAUCAUCUCAGAAGUACUCUAGUGGUAAUGGUAACUUCAGGCAAAGCAACAGGUCAUCAUCAAAUAGCUCGCCGUGGAAAAUACGCAGGCAAUAUGAAGAAUCUGCUGUUGGUUCAAAAACUCUUGCAGAAAUGUUUGCUUUAUCUGAUUCCGAAAAACUGAAGCUAAAUUCAGACUCACAUACUCAGAUUCGAUGCGAUAAAUUUGACCAGGACAUUGGUCAUAGCAAGGAUGGAUGCUUUAUAGUUUUACCAAAGCAUGCACCUCCAUUGUCUCUCCGAAGCUCAAUGGUCAGCACUUCUGUCUUGGAAGGGCUCCCUCAGGGAAGAAAUAAUCCAAAUACUGCCAAUUGUUACAGCAAUGGUAAGUUUGGUGUCGAUUCUUUCCGGGAUAAACCAAGACUGCUGAAGCAAAUUGGCAACACCAGGGAAGAUAACUCGAAGAAUGUUCACGGUUUCAAACAUGUUAUUGCCGACAACUUCUCAUCUCCGGACUGCUUAAAUGAGAAAGUAUUGUUCACAACAGAUGAGGACUUAGUGCAACAACCUGCUGAAUCUGAACCUUCAGCAUUUGACUUGCAGUCAUCUAGGAAAGAAAAGGUGACAAGAUUGCCUUCCCACUGUCAUGACUAUGAGUCAAUAUCCCUGUCGGAUCAUGCUGAUGGAACAAAGUCUUUUAAAGGCUUGAAAGAGGUUGAACAACCAAGCCCAGUGUCCAUUCUUGAGCCUCCAACUGAUGAAGAUAGUUGUUGUUCUGGAUAUUUCAAGUAUGAUCAGCAAGACAUGGCUAAGAAAAGAAGAAAUGACCAUCAACUUCAUGAUGAGCCUGAAGUUUUCAUGUCAAGUGAUGAUGAGGACCAUUCAUCUUACCAGUCUUUGGAAGCAUUUCAGGUUGAGGAAGACAGGGACUUCUCAUAUCUCCUUGACAUACUAAUAUGCUCCGGUAUCAUAGUUGCUGACUGGCAGCUCUUAUGCAAAUCAUGGUACUCACCUGGUUGCCCUGUUGGCCCUCAUGUCUUUGAUAGGCUUGAGAGGAAGUACAACAAAAUUGCCACAUGGGCUAAGCCUGAGAGGAGGCUUCUGUUUGACCUUGUGAAUUCUAUUCUCUCUGAGGUCCUUGCACCAUGCAUCGAUCUGCACCCAUGGGUGCAGUCUAGAAGGCAUUGCGGGUCUCUUUGGGGGCCUGAAGGGCCUGUUGAGAAGGUUUGGCAGACGAUUGUCAGGCAGCAGCAAGAGUUUGUCAUAGGGCAUUCUGAUGAGAUGGUUCUUGAUCCAAACUGGCCAGAUGUAGGUGAUGACAUCAAUAUGGUUGGAAAGCAGAUAGUCAGGAUGUUACUUGGCGAUCUCUUGGAAGAAGUCAUAGCGGAGUUCCUCUCAGGUUUGAUAGUUUCAUUUGGACCCAUCUGAGAACUUCACAAUGGUAACAGAGUUGGGGUUUUCCCAGAUUAUGCUGGAAGCCUGUAACGGCCUUGGAAGUGCACAUAUGCUGCAUUUUUAUUCUGGUUUAUAAUAGGAGCUAUGUAUCAUAUUGUUGUUACACUGGAGUGCAUAAUAUACUGGCUAAACACUUUUGCAGGUAUGUCUGGAGUAACUGAAGAUGUAUGUACUAUCCAAUACUUUGAUGUAUGUAGUAAUCUAGAAAUCUGCAGGCCUGCUCUGUUACUGCUUGAAUGUUGCUUUCUCAUAGCCAUGUGGGUAUGAACUUCCCAGCUGUCGCAAGACUCACAGUGAACAUAAACGAUCUUGUAAGAAAGCUAUUUUCAGUUCCUCUCCCAGUUAUGCCAUCUAUAGGCAUGAACUUCAAUUUUACAUUAAAAAAACGUGACCCUUGCAUUCUUGAACUGUGUGCUAAGGCUAGAAACAGAUUGUAAAGAAAACCAGAAUUUAGGAAAUGGUUUGCAGUUAUUUAUAUGAUUGAGCAGAACCUGGAUCAAACCAGCACAAUGUGUACAAAUAAUGCACACACAACAUUAACUAAAUAUUCGUACAGAUUACGA